CUUUCCAGAGAGGGGUUACCAUGGCACAGAACAACAAGCUCAGCAUUCUGACAGUUGAAUGAUGCUGGCUGGCAAUUGAUAGCAACCAUAACACAGAUAAGAAGCAAUCAUCAACUAACACCAGUGUUCUGGCUGUGUGGCUUACACUAUUUUGCUCAUCAGUGCUGCCUGGACUGGCUUUAAUGGAGUUGGGAGAAACAGGCCUAGCGGGUACAGAUACGGGCGACCUUAAAUAAACUUGUGUCCUGAUGUUGAUGUCCUCUUCAAAGUACCAUUUUUAAAUUUUGAUUUUUCCCUUGUCUCCUUUCCAUUUGUAUUGUUUUCUAUCCUGCCUUAUUCUCUCCCCUAACUUUGAUCUUUUACUUUUAAGGGCUAUGGAAGGGCCAAAGACCCCUCUUCUAUGUCUGUUUUAGGCUGGGUUGGUUGUGGCACUGACCCUUCCUAGACACCAACAACCAAAAGUUUCUCUCUCACUGAUCCUAAGAAGGUGAAAGACAACCAGAACAUUGGCAAGUCAUUGGCUUUUAAACCAUUUUAUAACCACGUUAAACAACCAAGGGCCAAAAAUUAAAACAAUAUUGCUGAGUUAUGGCUCCAAAGAGUGGCAUAAUUUGGAAAAAAUUAGGUAGCAUUUGAUAGAAGUCUUUUAUCUUCAAUACUAAUUUCUACUUCUUUUUUAGGUGUUUAUCCUAGUACAACAACUGGAAUUUAAAAACAUACAGACUUCAUUUGUUGAUGACUGUACCCAAUCCUAUUAAACUGAAAAGGGUGAGGUGGCAGACAAUACUUCUUGGCAAAUAAAGGUUCUAUCACUGGAAAGCAGAGCAUAAGGAGAUCUUAACCAACAAAAGUCUCUUCACUCUAACCUCAACCCUCUGCACAAAAAGGGAUGAGGACAUAUAAAAA